rnacentral:rRNA from 1 species
UACGUAGGUCCCGAGCGUUGUCAGGAUUUAUUGGGCGUAAAGCGAGCGCAGGUGGUUUAAUAAGUCUGAUGUAAAAGGCAGUGGCUCAACCAUUGUGUGCAUUGGAAACUGUUAGACUUGAGUGCAGUAGAGGAGAGUGGAAUUCCAUGUGUAGCGGUGAAAUGCGUAGAUAUAUGGAGGAACACCGGUGGCGAAAGCGGCUCUCUGGACUGUAACUGACGCUGAGGCUCGAAAGCGUGGGUAGCAAACAGG